rnacentral:lncRNA from 1 species
UUAACUGUAGGCUCCGACAAACACAAAGACAAAUGUCCCUGGUGUGAAGACACCCCGACACUCCAGCACAUCACAUACGAAUGCCCGAGGUGCCCUGCACACGUCGUCUCGCCGCUAAUCACCAAUUCACUCUUUAACUGGUCGUGGGAGGCGCAACUAACGGAACUGGAGUUGGGAAUCCAGCUGGUGACCCU